rnacentral:rRNA from 1 species
CCUACGGGAUGCAGCAGUAGGGAAUAUUGCUCAAUGGGGGAAACCCUGAAGCAGCAACGCCGCGUGGAGGAUGAAGGUUUUCGGAUUGUACACUCCUUUUGUUAGAGAAGAUAAUGACGGUAUCUAACGAAUAACCACCGGCUAACUCCGUGCCAGCAGCCGCGGUAAUACGGAGGGUGCAAGCGUUACUCGGAAUCACUGGGCGUAAAGAGCGCGUAGGCGGGAUAGCAAGUCAGAUGUGAAAUCCUAUGGCUUAACCAUGGAACUGCAUUGGAAACUGUGAUUCUAGAGAAUGGGAGAGGUAGGUGGAAUGCGUGGUGUAGGGGUAAAAUCCGUAGAGAUCAAGAGGAAUACUCAUGGCGAAGGCGACCGGCUAGAACAUAACUGACGCUGAGGCGCGAAAGCGUGGGGAGCAAACAGGAUUAGAUACCCCAGUAGUC